UGGGGAAUUUUGGACAAUGGGCGAAAGCCUGAUCCAGCAAUGCCGCGUGUGUGAAGAAGGCCUUCGGGUUGUAAAGCACUUUUGUCCGGAAAGAAAUCCUUGGCUCUAAUACAGUCGGGGGAUGACGGUACCGGAAGAAUAAGCACCGGCUAACUACGUGCCAGCAGCCGCGGUAAUACGUAGGGUGCAAGCGUUAAUCGGAAUUACUGGGCGUAAAGCGUGCGCAGGCGGUUUGCUAAGACCGAUGUGAAAUCCCCGGGCUCAACCUGGGAACUGCAUUGGUGACUGGCAGGCUAGAGUAUGGCAGAGGGGGGUAGAAUUCCACGUGUAGCAGUGAAAUGCGUAGAGAUGUGGAGGAAUACCGAUGGCGAAGGCAGCCCCCUGGGCCAAUACUGACGCUCAUGCACGAAAGCGUGGGGGAGCAAACAGGAUUAGAUACCCUGGUAGUCCACGCCCUAAACGAUGUCAACUAGUUGUUGGGGAUUCAUUUCCUUAGUAACGUAGCUAACGCGUGAAGUUGACCGCCUGGGGAGUACGGUCGCAAGAUUAAAACUUAAUGAAUUGACGGGGUCAUGCUGUUUCC
rnacentral:rRNA from 1 species